rnacentral:rRNA from 1 species
GAUGAACGCUGGCGGCGUGCCUAAUACAUGCAAGUCGAGCGAACGGACGAGAAGCUUGCUUCUCUGAUGUUAGCGGCGGACGGGUGAGUAACACGUGGAUAACCUACCUAUAAGACUGGGAUAACUUCGGGAAACCGGAGCUAAUACCGGAUAAUAUUUUGAACCGCAUGGUUCAAAAGUAAAAGACGGUCUUGCUGUCACUUAUAGAUGGAUCCGCGCUGCAUUAGCUAGUUGGUAAGGUAACGGCUUACCAAGGCAACGAUGCAUAGCCGACCUGAGAGGGUGAUCGGCCACACUGGAACUGAGACACGGUCCAGACUCCUACGGGAGGCAGCAGUAGGGAAUCUUCCGCAAUGGGCGAAAGCCUGACGGAGCAACGCCGCGUGAGUGAUGAAGGUCUUCGGAUCGUAAAACUCUGUUAUUAGGGAAGAACAUAUGUGUAAGUAACUGUGCACAUCUUGACGGUACCUAAUCAGAAAGCCACGGCUAACUACGUGCCAGCCACCGCGGUAAUACGUAGGUGGCAAGCGUUAUCCGGAAUUAUUGGGCGUAAAGCGCGCGUAGGCGGUUUUUUAGUCUGAUGUGAAAGCCCACGGCUCAACCGUGGAGGGUCAUUGGAAACUGGAAAACUUGAGUGCAGAAGAGGAAAGUGGAAUUCCAUGUGUAGCGGUGAAAUGCGCAGAGAUAUGGAGGAACACCAGUGGCGAAGGCGACUUUCUGGUCUGUAACUGACGCUGAUGUGCGAAAGCGUGGGGAUCAAACAGGAUUAGAUACCCUGGUAGUCCACGCCGUAAACGAUGAGUGCUAAGUGUUAGGGGGUUUCCGCCCCUUAGUGCUGCAGCUAACGCAUUAAGCACUCCGCCUGGGGAGUACGACCGCAAGGUUGAAACUCAAAGGAAUUGACGGGGACCCGCACAAGCGGUGGAGCAUGUGGUUUAAUUCGAAGCAACGCGAAGAACCUUACCAAAUCUUGACAUCCUUUGACAACUCUAGAGAUAGAGCCUUCCCCUUCGGGGGACAAAGUGACAGGUGGUGCAUGGUUGUCGUCAGCUCGUGUCGUGAGAUGUUGGGUUAAGUCCCGCAACGAGCGCAACCCUUAAGCUUAGUUGCCAUCAUUAAGUUGGGCACUCUAAGUUGACUGCCGGUGACAAACCGGAGGAAGGUGGGGAUGACGUCAAAUCAUCAUGCCCCUUAUGAUUUGGGCUACACACGUGCUACAAUGGACAAUACAAAGGGCAGCGAAACCGCGAGGUCAAGCAAAUCCCAUAAAGUUGUUCUCAGUUCGGAUUGUAGUCUGCAACUCGACUACAUGAAGCUGGAAUCGCUAGUAAUCGUAGAUCAGCAUGCUACGGUGAAUACGUUCCCGGGUCU